rnacentral:rRNA from 1 species
CGUUUAGUGGCGAACGGGUGAGUAAUACAUAGGUAACCUACCCUUAAGACGAGGAUAGCCAUUGGAAACGAUGGAUAAAACUGGAUAGGAUAUAGAGGAAGAAUCUUUUAUAUUUAAAAGAGAGAUCUGCUUAAGGAGGGGCCUGUGGCGCAUUAGCUAGUUGGUGGGGUAAGGGCCUACCAAGGCGAUGAUGCGUAGCCGGACUGAGAGGUUGAACGGCCACAAUGGAACUGAGACACGGACCAAACUCCUACGGGAGGCAGCAG